AAAGUGUUGUACCUGAAAGACUGAAAAAGUAAUCUACAUUUUGUAAAAUUUGUUGCAGAAAUUGAAGAAGCAGCCGAUGCAACUGCUGUUGUUGACCAGACUGGUGACAUAGAGACGGCGGCGGAGGUGGUGGACUCGGCGGAGGCGCGGCGGCUCGAGCUGCGGCUGGACGAGGCGGCGGGGGGGGACCGCGGCGAGCAGCUGGCGGACCCCUACUACUUCCCGCCACCUCCCGAAGACCUCGAUCCUGAUGUGGACGGAACCUUGGAGUUUUACACCGUCAUUAAAGCCGUGCCCAAGAUAAUCCAGUACCCGAAACUUAUACCCUUAUUUGGAGCUCUAACCCCUGACCUCAUCCAGCGCGGGCGGCGCUACAUCGUGGUGUGUCGCCUGUCGCGGGGCGCGCCGGGGGGUGAGGCAGGGGCAGGGGGCGAGGGGGGCAGGGCCACCAUGCUGCAGAUGC